GAGGCGGCCAGGGGCGAGGGGCUGCGGGAGGAGCCGGGCGGGGGCUGCGGCUUCGCUUCGGCGGCUCACCCCUCCCUCUCUUU
rnacentral:pre_miRNA from 1 species